rnacentral:tRNA from 1 species
CUUCUAUAGGAAAAUAGUAAUCCACUGGUU